AUCAUCAUGAGAUUCUCUAUUAUCAACAAAUACUUGAGAAGACAACUCUUAAUCUGAAUUUGGGAUACUAGUUUUGCUUCCAAUGCUGAUCAGAAUGAGGACAUUAAGGAUGAACUAGUGCUUGAACCAGCCCCUUUAUCCACACUUCCUCCUGAUCCUGUGGUUACUGAUGAGGAGUUUGAAAAAGAAAUUGAUCUCAUGAUGAUGGAAUCUGACUCUAUGGAUGCGGAUCUUUCAUUGGCUCAUGACCCUGGAAUGUAAGAAGUUCGAGAGCUGACUUUGGAUUGAUUCAGAAGCGGUAGGUGCUGAAGCUGCUGUUCUAAUUUUGGCGAUCUCUUGGGCAGAAGAGAUGAAUCUCUCCAAAAUUGUUUUCGUUAGUGACUGUCUCCAAUUGGUGCAUUUUGUUAAUGGUGUCAUCCGUAGUAUAGAAUGGCAUAACGGGGAUCUUCUAGAACAAUGUAGGAGUUUAUUAUCCAAGUCUAUUUUUUUUUUAAAUUAUGUAUGUAAAGCGUCUGAACAAUCGUCUAGCGGAUCGACUUGCACGUCGAGUUAGGAUUUAUAGUCUUAAGGGUCUUUGGUUCUCUUUUCCUCCCUUUUUGAACUCUUUGUUGAGGAAAGAGUACCUGUCGGAUGUUUGUAAUUCCGUUCUUUGUUAAUGCCAUGGUG